rfam:Ixodes scapularis strain Wikel colony gcontig_1107728638952, whole genome shotgun sequence.
CCCUGGUUAGUUCAGUUGGUAGAGCGCUCCACUGGAAAUGGAGAGGUCCCGGGUUCGAUACCCGGACCAGGCG